rnacentral:rRNA from 1 species
AACGAACGCUGGCGGCAGGCCUAAUACAUGCAAGUCGAGCGCAUUCUUCGGAAUGAGCGGCGGACGGGUGAGUAACGCGUGGGAAUAUGCCCUUCUCUAAGGAGUAGCCUCUGGAAACGGAGAGUAAUACCUUAUACGCCCUUCGGGGGAAAGAUUUAUCGGAGAAGGAUUAGCCCGCGUUAGAUUAGGUAGUUGGUGGGGUAAUGGCCUACCAAGCCUACGAUCUAUAGCUGGUUUGAGAGGAUGAUCAGCCACACUGGGACUGAGACACGGCCCAGACUCCUACGGGAGGCAGCAGUAGGGAAUCUUAGACAAUGGGGGCAACCCUGAUCUAGCCAUGCCGCGUGUGUGAUGAAGGCCCUAGGGUCGUAAAGCACUUUCGCCAGAGAUGAUAAUGACAGUAUCUGGUAAAGAAACCCCGGCUAACUCCGUGCCAGCAGCCGCGGUAAUACGGAGGGGGUUAGCGUUGUUCGGAAUUACUGGGCGUAAAGCGCACGUAGGCGGAUUAGUAAGUUAGAGGUGAAAUCCCAGGGCUCAACCCUGGAACUGCCUUUAAUACUGCUAGUCUUGAGUUCGAGAGAGGUAAGUGGAAUUCCGAGUGUAGAGGUGAAAUUCGUAGAUAUUCGGAGGAACACCAGUGGCGAAGGCGGCUUACUGGCUCGAUACUGACGCUGAGGUGCGAAAGUGUGGGGAGCAAACAGGAUUAGAUACCCUGGUAGUCCACACCGUAAACGAUGAAUGCCAGACGUCAGCAAGUAUACUUGUUGGUGUCACACCUAACGGAUUAAGCAUUCCGCCUGGGGAGUACGGUCGCAAGAUUAAAACUCAAAGGAAUUGACGGGGGCCCGCACAAGCGGUGGAGCAUGUGGUUUAAUUCGAAGCAACGCGCAGAACCUUACCAACCCUUGACAUCCUGUGCUACUACCAGAGAUGGUACGUUCCCUUCGGGGACGCAGUGACAGGUGCUGCAUGGCUGUCGUCAGCUCGUGUCGUGAGAUGUUCGGUUAAGUCCGGCAACGAGCGCAACCCACAUCUUUAGUUGCCAGCAGGUUAAGCUGGGCACUCUAGAGAAACUGCCCGUGAUAAGCGGGAGGAAGGUGUGGAUGACGUCAAGUCCUCAUGGCCCUUACGGGUUGGGCUACACACGUGCUACAAUGGCAGUGACAAUGGGUUAAUCCCCAAAAGCUGUCUCAGUUCGGAUUGGGGUCUGCAACUCGACCCCAUGAAGUCGGAAUCGCUAGUAAUCGCGUAACAGCAUGACGCGGUGAAUACGUUCCCGGGCCUUGUACACACCGCCCGUCACACCAUGGGAGUUGGUUCUACCCGACGACGCUGCGCUAACCCUUCGGGGAGGCAGGCGGCCACGGUAGGAUCAGCGACUGGGGUGAAGUCGUAACAAGGUAGCCGUAGGGGAACCUGCGGCUGGAUCACCUCCUUUCUAAGGAUGAUCUUAGCAGCAAGACUUUUGUCUUACUCGUAGAUCACUUAGCAUGAUAUGUCCUUUGCAUAUCAACACAUCAGUUCAUCUUUUGAUGGACUUGGGCCGAGCCGUCCUCAUAUCUCUUCAGACAUUGCAAGCCUUGAGCUUGUAUAAACCGCCUGAUUGGACCACCACCGGCCCUUUCGGCAGACUUGCUUUGCAGGUCACCUGUCGGGCGUUGUUGAUCUUGCUUUGCAAGAUCCACUGGGUCGGUAGCUCAGGUGGUUAGAGCGCACGCCUGAUAAGCGUGAGGUCGGAGGUUCAAGUCCUCCUCGACCCACCAUAGAUUACACCCUUAAAGGGGGCGUUAGCUCAGCUGGGAGAGCACCUGCUUUGCAAGCAGGGGGUCAUCGGUUCGAUCCCGAUACGCUCCACCAAGGAUUUAAGUUUGAAAGUUAAGCAACUUUGGUUGUUUUGCUGUCCAACUUGGACUUUGUUCAGUCUUCGGACUGACUUGACAUCGUAAAGAGAGAUACAAACAUCAGAAUUACUGAUGCACCGAGUAAGGUGUAUCGUGAUGUUGUUUGGCAUCGCGUGAGAUGGGUAUGAGUGAUUCAUAUCUGUUUUAUAUGGUGCCUUUUAUGGCAACAGUUCACAAAGUAAUUUUGUUCCAAGUUAAGUACAAUUAUACCUGAGCAAAUCCGCAAGGUUUUGCUCAUCGUCGCUGCUCUAUCCGGGCAGUGGCGGCACGAAUGUUGCCCCCUCUUUGAACCAGCGGGGGCCCAUGGGAAUAAUUUUGUAUGACUUUUGGUUCAGAAUUUAGUCAUCUUCGGAUGAUGUUGGCAGGACACGCAAAAGGCCUGUCUUCUUCUGGAUCAAAUCAAGCGCGAAAAGGGCGUUUGGUGAAUGCCUUGGCAGUAAGAGGCGAUGAAGGACGUGAUACUCUGCGAUAAGUUAUGGGGAGCUGAGAAUAAGCUUUGAUCCAUAAAUUU